CUGGCUCAGGAUGAACGCUGGCGGCGUGCUUAACACAUGCAAGUCGAACGGAGUUUUUAACGGAAGUUUCGGAUGGAAGUUUAAGAACUUAGUGGCGGACGGGUGAGUAACGCGUGGGUAACCUGCCUCAUACAGGGGGAUAACAGUUAGAAAUGACUGCUAACACCGCAUAAUAUAGUGAAACCGCAUGAUUUUGCUAUCAAAUAUUUAUAGGUAUGAGAUGGGCCCGCGUCUGAUUAGCUAGUUGGUGGGGUAAAAGCCUACCAAGGCGACGAUCAGUAGCCGGCUUGAGAGAGUGACCGGCCACAUUGGGACUGAGACACGGCCCAAACUCCUACGGGAGGCAGCAGUGGGGAAUAUUGGACAAUGGGGGAAACCCUGAUCCAGCGAACCGCCGCGUGAGUGAAGAAGUAUUUCGGUAUGUAAAGCUCUAUCAGCAGGGAAGAUAAUGACUGUACCUGACUAAGAAGCCCCGGCUAACUACGUGCCAGCCGCAGC
rnacentral:rRNA from 1 species